UACGAACCGUGCGAACGUUAUUCGGAAUCACUGGGCUUAAAGGGCGCGUAGGCGGGUCCUCAAGUCCGGGGUGAAAUCCCACGGCCCAACCGUGGAAGUGCCUUGGAUACUGAGGACCUCGAGGGGGAUAGGGGCGUGCGGAACUCAGGGUGGAGCGGUGAAAUGCGUAGAUAUCCUGAGGAACACCGGUGGCGAAAGCGGCGCGCUGGAUCCCUUCUGACGCUGAGGCGCGAAAGCCAGGGGAGCAAACGGG
rnacentral:rRNA from 1 species